rnacentral:rRNA from 1 species
AUGGAUUCAGCGGCGGACGGGUGAGUAAUGCCUAGGAAUCUGCCUGGUAGUGGGGGAUAACGUCCGGAAACGGGCGCUAAUACCGCAUACGUCCUGAGGGAGAAAGUGGGGGAUCUUCGGACCUCACGCUAUCAGAUGAGCCUAGGUCGGAUUAGCUAGUUGGUGGGGUAAAGGCCUACCAAGGCGACGAUCCGUAACUGGUCUGAGAGGAUGAUCAGUCACACUGGAACUGAGACACGGUCCAGACUCCUACGGGAGGCAGCAGUGGGGAAUAUUGGACAAUGGGCGAAAGCCUGAUCCAGCCAUGCCGCGUGUGUGAAGAAGGUCUUCGGAUUGUAAAGCACUUUAAGUUGGGAGGAAGGGCAGUA